UACGCAGGCGGAAAAUUAAGUCAGUGGUGAAAUCCUGCAGCUUAACUGUAGAACUGUCAUUGAUACUGGUUUUCUUGAAUAUAGUUGGGGUAGGCGGAAUGUGUAAUGUAGCGGUGAAAUGCUUAGAUAUUACACAGAACACCGAUUGCGAAGGCAGCUUACUAAGCUAUGAUUGACGCUGAGGUACGAAAGCGUGGGGAGCGAACAGAAUUAGAUACCCUGGUAGUCC
rnacentral:rRNA from 1 species